rnacentral:rRNA from 1 species
GACGAACGCUGGCGGCGUGCUUAACACAUGCAAGUCGAACGGAACUUCCCUGCUGUGUUGUUGUGCUCGAGUGGCGAGCGGGUUAGUAACCCGUGGAUAACCUGCUCUUGACUUUAGGCUAACUUGGGGAAACUGGGGCUGAUACCGGAUAUGAUCUCCUGCUACAGUGUAUGGGUUGGGACGUUUCGGCGGUUGGGGCUGGACGCGGGGCUUAUCGGCUUGUUGGUCGGUGAGUUGCUUACCAAGGCUGUGACGGGUAGCCGGCCCUAGAGGGGGACCGGCCACCAGGGGCCUGAGAUACGGACCAGACGCCUACGGGAGGCAGCAGUCGGGAAUAUUGCCCAAUGGGCGGACGCCUGAUGCAGCAACGCCGCGUGCGGGAUGCCGGCUUUCGGGUUGUAAACCGCUUUCGCCUGUGACGAAGCGUGAGUGACGGUAAUUGGUAAAGAAGCAACGGCUAACUACGUG